UACGUAGGGCGCAAGCGUUAUCCGGAAUGAUUGGGCGUAAAGCGUCCGCAGGUGGCAAUGUAAGUCUGCUGUUAAAGAGUCUAGCUCAACUAGAUAAAAGCAGUGGAAACUACAUAGCUAGAGUACGUUCGGGGCAGAGGGAAUUCCUGGUGUAGCGGUGAAAUGCGUAGAGAUCAGGAAGAACACCGGUGGCGAAGGCGCUCUGCUAGGCCGUAACUGACACUGAGGGACGAAAGCUAGGGGAGCGAAUGGG
rnacentral:rRNA from 1 species